rfam:Bacteroidetes bacterium GWE2_40_15 gwe2_scaffold_113, whole genome shotgun sequence.
GGGGAUGUUUUGGUUUUGACAGCAUUCACAAUCGGAAGGUAAGCACGUCGAGCGUUGUAUCCCCGGCUCGUAAAUCCCGGAGGACAAGCCAUAACAGGCAAUAACAACUUAGCACUCGCUGCGUAAUUAGGCUCUGCCUGAUUCCUUAAUUGCCACCGGCCAGGUCCGGUCGCGACGAGUAUCCCGCCGAUCUUUGCGCCGUCUAUGUUUCGGUAUAUGGGGUAUCAUUAAAGUACGGAUGCGGAGAUCUACGCCUCUAAAAUCUCCUAAGUAUUAAGAGGAUAAGCCUUAAGUGGCCUGCCUUUCGGCAGCUUAAGGACCAAAAUCGUAGAGAGGAUAAGCGUGUAGAAAGUCUUUGGAUGGUUUGUUUGGACGGCGGUUCGAAUCCGCCCAUCUCCACAA